UCAUGCCUCACAAAUAUGCAAAUUAUGCAACUCUUAGUCAUUCUUUACCGCCUUUCUUUAGAAUAUGCAAUUCUUUAUCAUUAGCCAUUCUUUAUUCUUUAUUCUUUAUUCUUUAUUCUUUAUUCUUUGCGAAGGGCACUCGCACCUUAGGCGCAUUAUACACAUUUGCUAUUCUUUAUAACAUUCACAAACGUUUCUCAAUUAUCAUUCUUUCUCAAUUGUCAUUCUUUCACAGGGUUACCUUUACCCUAGCCAACUAUGCCACUCGACUCGGUCUUGAGUCAAUUCAUAAUGAAUACAAGAUCCACUUUCCAAUCCAUGAUUCCUUUUUGUUCUUUGUUCUUUAAUCUCACGGCUAACCCGGGGGUUUCGCCACAUUAACUUGCUUCACAUUAAGUCCAUCAUCGCAGGAACUCACCAGCUAGGACCGUCCUUACGGGUCUACUCCAACCCGGAUGCCAAACUCCGGAGCGCAUCGCCCGAGGGGGAGCGACCGCCCUCGAGCACGGAACUCAUAGCAAGUAUGAUCAUAUCCUUAACUCAAAGGAUUUGUAGUUGAAUCAUGGCUUUACACUAACUCUAGUGUUCUUUACAUCACUUUAUGUUGCCACUCUAGCAAUCAUUGUUCUUUACAUCUCUUUUACUUUUGCUAACUCUAGCAAUCACGUUUUUCACAUUCCUUUACUUUAAGCUAUCUUUAGCUUUCACAUUCUUUAACUUUACACGUUCUUUAUGCCACAUUACAUUACAUUGUCUUUAGCCAUUAUCAUUAUUCUUUACAUCACAUUGCUUUGCCUUGUCUCAAGCCAUUAUCAUUAGGUUCUCACAUUACAUCUCAUGCAUACACAUAGAUUAUUUAGAUUCUUAAUCAUUCUAAUAAGCACGUGUACUCACAUCAUGCAACAUUACAUUAUUAUCAUCACAUUGUUUUACAUUAUCUUUAGCCAUUAUCAUUGUUCUUUACAUCACAUUUAUUCUUUGAUGUCCCACACUAACUCUAGUGUCCACUUUACCAUUUCGAAUGCCACUCGAUCUAUGUUCAACAUGCAUAUAUUUUGUCAUCCAUUGGUAGUCAUUACUUAGCAUUUUAUGCAUUCGUUAACAUUUACUACAUGCAUUCUCGGUUAGUACAAAUCUCAUACUUUCAUUUGACAUCUAUUUAGCAUUUCUAUAAUAUGCACAUAUAAAUUAACAUCAACUCAUGCAUUCAUUUGGCAUCUAUCUUUAUCAUGCAUUCUUAAUUAGCAUACUUUAUCAUGCAUUCUCAAAUAGCAUACUUUAAUCUUUAUCAUGCAUUCUUAAAUAGCAUACUUUAUCAUGCGUCAAUAGUAAACAUACUACACUUUAGCAUGGAAAGCGACCUAAUCGCUUCGGUGAGCACAACCCACCUCAUUUCGCAUUCCGAUUGCUUGUCGACACUUGCAAUCGGCCUCCCGCGGCACCCGUAACCCGGUUUGGCCCGAUCUCUCACGCGACCACCCGAACGGCCUCCAAUUCACGAUCCGAAAAUUAAAGGUCUUCGGUUAUGUGCCACGAAGCUUCAAAUCCAUUUUCAUGAAUUUACGAUAUCGCCUCGGCCCUCCCGGCGGACCCGAAGCCUAAACGUCCGUUUCUUUAAUAACUUCGCAACGGCUCGUCGGAUUGCCGAACCGUCUUCGCCAACGCGUUCGUUUACCUAGCAAUUAGGUUUAUAUAGGGUCAAUUUAGAUCAAACCCUUACAUUUUACAAAACCCCAUUCGGAGCCCUAAUAUGCUAUUAACCUCAAAAUAAUCCAAAAUUAAAUGGAUCAACAUGCUAACAAAGCUCAUUAGAGGCUAUUAGAAUACUUAAAGCUAAGGAUUAAGCCAAAUCCUAAAAGCUUACCUCAAUGUGAACGCCGCGACGACAACACACCGCUCCAACGGGCGCACGAAAGCUCAAUCCGUCGCCUCCAACGCGUUCGCAAGCAUAUUCUCCACCAACCCCGCGAAUUUGAGCGAGAGAUAUAGAGAAAUGAGAGAGAUCUCUAGAGAGAGAAAGGAGAGUUUCUCUCCUCUCUCCAUGUGUGCGUGAGGUGUGUGUGGGUGUGCACGGCUGAAGGAGGAAGAAGAAGCAUCAUGCUUCUAUUUAAUUACACCCCAACACUAUUCACCUCCAGGCAGCUUAAAAUCUGAUAACUUUCGCCGGAGCUCCCUGAAUCUCCGUUUGAGCUCAAACUUGACAGUCAUGUUCGGUUUUACUUAACUUAACAAGCUGACGAUCACUGGUUCAGUUUCGACCCCGUUUGGUCACUGAAAACUGUACCGAACUGCAAUCUUUAUCAGAUAGCUUUCGGAUUUUAUUUCUCACUCUAUGGGUGUCAGAAAAAUAUGAAACCUUAAAUCUAGCCUCAUAAAAAUAUUUCUGACAUCUCCGCCAAUUUUCAUAAUUUUCUGAGACUGUGCAUUUUCUGCUUAUUUUUCUGUCCCGUCUCCAACAGAAAAUUCUAGAUCUUCUGUUUUAAUUCCGAUUUCAGCACAAGUCACCUCUGACUUAUGUUUUACCUCUAUAAAUCUAAUAAAAAUAGUUUCUCACACUAUUUUUAUUUAUUAUUAUUUUUAUACCAAAAUCUGGUAUAUUACACUAUGAGGGUCCGAAAAUGAUAUCGGGUCGUGUGCGAGGCGAACAAGCGUGAGAACUUAUACGUUCUGAAUGGAAGCACAGUCAGAACGAGAGCGAAAAUAGUUUGGGUUCCAAAAGUUCGCAGAGGUGCAGUCGGUCGAGGCGAAGCGACGAAUGCGGCGACAUCGAGCGGAGAAGACAAGCUCAAGGUGGAGCUUGCAUGGUGAGCUUGAUGUAACGGUUGAAGACUACAAAUCCAACCAAGGUGGGGAUUGUUAGGAUUUAGUUAGAUUUGUAGUUGAAUCCUAAUUGGAUUAGGAUUAAUAUUUAAAUCUGUUGGAGAUAAAUUAAGAUUUAAAUAUUCAUUAGAGUAUGAAUCUAACUAGAUUAGAAUAAAUAUUUAAAUCUAUUAGAGAUAAACGAAAUAUAGAUUUAAAUAUUUAUUCGAGUAGGAAUCCUAAUAUACUAUGAUUAGGAUACACUUUAUGUGGGUGCUAUAUAUAAAUAUAUAGCAUUAAGGAGUUAAUUAGCAGAGAGAGGUAUGACUGAAUUAAUUAACUUGGAGCUUUAUGGUGCAUACGCCCUGAAGCUUGAAAGACCGUACGGCUUAGUAGGAGAGAGAAAGUUCAUCCAUGAGUUGAGUACAUCUUGUGCGGGAGUGUAUGCGGAGAAUUGUCUUUUUUGUGAGUUUAUAGAAGACGAGAAAAUGAUAGGAGAGACUCAAAAAGAGAGCUCGGAGUCAGGUGUAAUCUUCUCUUUUUUAAUGAAUAUUUUUUUACCUGCAUAUUUUCUGUUUGAUUAGUUUUUCUCUCUUUUGUGAUUAUAUUAGCUUUUGCUGAGCAGACAGCUUUAUGGUAAAAAUCCGAUUCGAUACUUUCAUUGCGGAAUCUCAACAAUCGAUACCGGAUAUGCAGCAGUCGGUAUCGGAGCGGAUUGCGGAUUCACAAAAUCCGGUACCGGAGUGAGUACUGGAUUCCCAACACAUACUAUUUAAGCAAUCACCCACUAAACCCUAAAAGAUUAUUAUCAUCCUAAUCGAAAACUUAAUAGACCAAUAACUUGUGCUAUUAAUCUAUCUAUACAUUACAAUAUUUGUCACUUUA
rnacentral:lncRNA from 1 species